GAGUUCAGGUUGUAUUGCUGUGUUAAGGAUGAACUGAGCUUUGGAUUUCCUAAUUAUACAAGAUCAAGAUGUAUCCAGCAUUAUACUAUUUAUUAUUUGGUCUUCUUCUGAAGAAAUACAAUGAUGCAGCUAACAUGACAGAAGCAUUGUCAACGCGAUUUGAAAAGAGUCCAGAUUUAUUUAAUUACUGAGAAAAGAUUGGACUGACAGCACACACGAGUGGCCAGGCAGCCUAUAGUGGCACAGCUGCUUUCAAGAGGGUUGAGAAUAUCCACGGUAAACAAGAAGCUAGAAUGAAUUUUGUCUUCCAUCACACCCAAACUGGCCUUAAAAAAGCUGUAUGCAGAAAGGAAGCAAAUCUAACUCCCACUCCCUUCUCUCAUCUAACAUCCACUCCCUUCUCUCUAAUCCCUUAUAUGCAGGUUAUACUUAGAAACAAAUACAAGGCCAAAAUGGCAGGCACAGAACAGAACUCAGUCUUGAGGAUGGCUGGGCAAAGAAUUAGGGGCAAACAAUAUGUGACUUUAAACUUGAUAUUAGGGCCAUUUGGAUUAGGCCCAAAUCCAAAAUCUGUGGUUGGGACAGGUAAUGUCGAUGCACGUCCCAACUUUAUCAGAGAGAUUUUUAUUAGGAGCAUGGGAGAGAUCCUUCUCAUGUGCAGCCUCCAUGUUACAGACUGGUCUCCUUUGUGAGAACCAUCUAGCCCCCUCUAUGCCCUGCCUCCAUAAUUGUCAUCAUCAUCAUCUAAAGAUGUAUCUGUUUAAAGCUGCUUUUAAUCCCUCUUAAUUUUCCCUUCAUCCUUUAUGUGCAAUUUGUUAUGUGAGAAUGGCUCCUCUGAAAAUCAUUGUAUGACCUUUACUUGGUAUCUUUUAGCUAUUGUGUUGCAUUGUUUUUAAGUGAUUGGGGUUUUUUUGCUGAAUGGU